rnacentral:rRNA from 1 species
UACGAAGGGGGCUAGCGUUGCUCGGAAUCACUGGGCGUAAAGGGUGCGUAGGCGGGUCUUUAAGGCGGGGGUGAAAUCCUGGAGCUCAACUCCAGAACUGCCUUUGAUACUGAGGAUCUUGAGUACGGGAGAGGUGAGUGGAACUGCGAGUGUAGAGGUGAAAUUCGUAGAUAUUCGCAAGAACACCAGUGGCGAAGGCGGCUCACUGGCCCGUAACUGACGCUGAGGGACGAAAGCUAGGGGAGCGAACGGG